rnacentral:rRNA from 1 species
UUCGACCGGGACGAAGGGUGACUGACGGUACCGGUAGAAGAAGCACCGGCCAACUACGUGCCAGCAGCCGCGGUAAUACGUAGGGUGCGAGCGUUGUCCGGAAUUAUUGGGCGUAAAGAGCUCGUAGGCGGUGUGUCACGUCGGUCGUGAAAACUUGGGGCUCAACCCUGAGCAUGCGGUCGAUACGGGCAUCACUUGAGUUCGGCAGGGGAGACUGGAAUUCCUGGUGUAGCGGUGAAAUGCGCAGAUAUCAGGAGGAACACCGGUGGCGAAGGCGGGUCUCUGGGCCGAUACUGACGCUGAGGAGCGAAAGCGUGGGGAGCGAACAGGAUUAGAUACCCUGGUAGUCCACGCCGUAAACGGUGGGCACUAGGUGUGGGGGCCAUUCCACGGUCUCUGUGCCGCAGCUAACGCAUUAAGUGCCCCGCCUGGGGAGUACGGCCGCAAGGCUAAAACUCAAAGGAAUUGACGGGGGCCCGCACAAGCGGCGGAGCAUGUGGAUUAAUUCGAUGCAACGCGAAGAACCUUACCUGGGUUUGACAUGCACUAGACGCGUCUAGAGAUAGGCGUUCCCUUGUGGCUGGUGUGCAGGUGGUGCAUGGCUGUCGUCAGCUCGUGUC